CUCUGCAAAUGUAUGAACAGUGCCUUAAUAAGGAGCAGAUAACAAUAUACUCUUUAUUAGUCCCUCAUAAGCAACAACACAAAGAAAAUAAACAACAAACAAACAUAGUAAAAUAGGACCAUACCAUAUCUCAUAGUAACUAAUACAAAAUAAAUGAAUGUAUCUAAAUAAGUUGCAAAUUGUUGCAAAAGAGGUAGACAGUCUGUGUAAAUGAUGAUCCGAGGGAUUAAGAGGGGAUAUAAUGGAUUUAGUGUUAGAAAAAUGGGUAUAUGUGGCGAAAGUAUGGUAAUAGAAUAGUGUUCCCUGGAUGUUGAGCCGAG